CACUAUCCCAUCAGCAAAGCUAACAAAAUAUUCAGAUGACUUCGUUGGUGUGAAAGACAAAAACGGAAAUUGGCGUUCUAAAAGUUGUGCAUAUGUCUUUGACACAAUAUAUGUCGCUACAUCAUGCACGCGUUGCCGGGCACUGAAGAGAUAUUUUCUGCAGAAGAUAGGAACGUUGCAAUUAAAAAAGAAAAAAGAAACAAUGAACGAGAAAUGUCGAAAAUUGCGAAGCAAGCUGAACACAAUGGAAAAGAAACUUGAGAAAAGCAACCUAAAUGUGAAAAAUUUACGCAGUGACUGCAAGAAACUUUUGAAGGAAAAGAAAAGUACUUUUCAGAACCAGAUGGGACAUCUUUCAGAAAUGGUGAAUGGUGGUAGUUUUAUUAUUUUCAAGUAGCUAGUAGCUCAUUAAAUGUUUCUUAUAUGACAUUUGGUGAUUUAUUUUACUACAUCUUAAUCAUUUCUUUUUUCAA